UGAACGUUACCAUCACACCUGAUAUUUUUCCCCAAAUGAAGAAUCACUGUAUCUCUGUCUUCCGUGCAGAAAUUUCUGCUGGAAUGAAGAAAGAAAAGUUUGCAUAAGGACUUGUCACAAAGAAAAAUGAGUUUAAGAGGUAGAAGAUCAAAACUUACUAAAAAGGUCUCUUACUGACAUUUUGAGAUUUGACAGAACUGCUGGUAAAAAACCUGUAAGCCAAGAUUUCCUUCCAAAGGACAUCAGGCUAUCUGAAACAAAAAGCUCAUACUAAGAAGAGAGCCAUAUAAUUUGAAGUUCACAAAGAUGGCGAUCAACAAGCCAGCAGAAUUAUAGAUGGAGCUGUUCUGUGUUAUGUACUACUGAGUGGCACUUCAGGCAUUGACUGUGUAGGGACCUGACUGUCUUCAUCUAUUCUGGUCACAUUUGGCAAAGGUGUAAA